UCGAAUUCUUCGUCAAUGUCCG
rnacentral:siRNA from 1 species